UUCGCGGUGAACUCCCAGAUGCUCUGAUCCUGGACGAGUGCCUGGUCACCGAAAUAGUCGCCGUCGACGAGCGUGCCGAGCACGGUCAGAUCGCCGUACUCGCCGGUGCCGAUCUUGUUCACCUUGCCGUGCGCCACGACGUAGACGAACUCGGCCUCGUGGCCGAACUCGGCGAUCACGUCACCGGGCUGGUACUCCUGUUGCUGGAAGCGACCGGCGAGCGCGUGCAGCGCCUCCUCGUCGUCGAAUGUGCGCAGCAGCGGCAGUUCGACCAGAUCGGGCCCGACGAUGCUGGUUUGUGAACCGGUGUUGGUGACCGCGAUCCGGCCGUCGCCGACGGUGUAGCUCAGCCGCCGGUUGACCCGGUAGGCCCCACCCUGGGCCUGCACCCACGGCAGGAUCCGCAGCAGCCAGCGCGAGGUGAUGCUCUGCAUCUGCGGAACGGAUUUGGUGGUCGUCGCCAGAUUCCGCGCCGCCGCGGUGGCAAGGCUCUGCUGUUGAUCACCGU
rnacentral:antisense_RNA from 1 species